CCAUCCUGGCCGUGCAGCAGCGGCCAAGGGUGAGGUUGUUCGCCUAUUAAAGGGGAUCGUGAGCUGGGUUUAGACCGUCGUGAGACAGGUCGGUUGCUAUCUGACGGGGGUGUUCGGACGGCUGAGGGGAGGGAGGCUCUAGUACGAGAGGAACGAGCCUCCGGCGCCACUGGUUUACCGGUUGUCUGGCAGGGCAUCGCCGGGCAGCUACGUGCCAGUGGCUAAAGGCUGAAAGCAUCUAAGCCUGAAGCCACCCCCGAAAAGAGCCGUCCUUAAGGGCUCUGCUAAAAGAGCAGGUUGAUAGGACCGGGGUGUAAGCGGCAAGCUUCGGCGAGCCGUUCAGCCCGCGGUCACUAAUCGCCCGCGC
rnacentral:rRNA from 1 species